rnacentral:rRNA from 1 species
UACGUAGGGUGCAAGCGUUAAUCGGAAUUACUGGGCGUAAAGCGUGCGCAGGCGUUUAUGUAAGUCAGGUGUGAAAUCCCCGGGCUUAACCUGGGAACUGCAUUUGUGACUGCAUAGCUAGAGUACGGUAGAGGAGGAUGGAAUUCCGCGUGUAGCAGUGAAAUGCGUAGAUAUGCGGAGGAACACCGAUGGCGAAGGCAAUCCCCUGGACCUGUACUGACGCUCAUGCACGAAAGCGUGGGGAGCAAACAGG